AACACGAAUAGCCACGCCUGAACGUGCCGGUUGCAUCUGAUUGCGGAGGCUAAGCAGGGUUGGGCCUGGUUAGUACUUGGAUGGGAGACCAACUGGGAGUAUCAGGUGCUGGAGGUU
rfam:Nomascus leucogenys chromosome 10, whole genome shotgun sequence.